GACGAACCGUACGAACGUUAUUCGGAAUUACUGGGCGUAAAGCGUGCGCAGGCGGUUUUGUAAGCCAGGUGUGAAAUCCCCGGGCUCAACCUGGGAAUGGCAUUUGGGACUGCAAGGCUGGAGUGCGGCAGAGGAGACUGGAAUUCCUGGUGUAGCAGUGAAAUGCGUAGAUAUCAGGAGGAACACCGAUGGCGAAGGCAGGUCUCUGGGCUGACACUGACGCUCAUGCACGAAAGCGUGGGGAGCAAACAGG
rnacentral:rRNA from 1 species